GCUUACGGCCAUACCAGCCCAAGAACGCCCGGUCUCGUCUGAUCUCGGAAGCUAAGAAGGCUUGGGCCUGGUUAGUCCUUGGAUGGGAGACCUCCUGGGAAUACCAGGUGCUGUAAGCU
ensembl:rRNA 5S_rRNA 5S ribosomal RNA